CGCGUCGCGGUGGUUCGGUCCUGGCCGAUGGCGAGUGGGCGGCGCAUGGAUCGGUUCCGGCUAUGGUGUCCCAUGCUUCCCGCUGCCGUCUUCUCUCUCUCUGUCUCCUCGUUGCCACCUCCCCUCCCCUUCUUCCUCCCCGCUUGCCUCCAUCGCCCCUCUUCGCCGCCGCUGCGCACCGAGGUCGUCCUCGUCGAAGAAGGCGCUCACGGCUGGCAUCAGUAGGUCACCUCCGCUGCAACUCCUUAGGCUCCGUCUACUGUUCUCGCAGGUGUUGAUCGAUCAGUGCCAUGUGCAAGAACACAGGUGAGUGAUUUCCCCCGGUCUCCACCUCUAAGUUAAUUUGGUAGACAUUGGAUGCAAAUCUUGUGAGAUUUAUUGGUGCUUUGCCGUGGGUGCUUGAUUGAAGACGUGAUUUUGCAGAUAGCAAGUGAUUUCCCCUAAAUUCCCAGCCCGCAAUCACACCACAAGUGCUUCCUCAUGAGUCGUAAUCCACAUCCCCUUUCUCUCCAUUAUUAUUUUGCCGCGAGAUCUGCUCAUAUCACUUUUUAUCCAAAAUGUGCAUUGUUGGCCUGGAUCCGUGCACUGCUCCAUUCCUCAUCCCUGAAUUUGUUGUUUUGCUGCUAUAGUAACGAGAAAUAAUCCCCUUAAUCUCCUUACUCUGAUCCAUAUAUGGAGGUGUAUGGCAUAUGGAGGUAUGUAAUUGCAGAACUUAACUUUUGCAAUUGCAGAACUAACUGUUUCUUUCCCAGUUCACACAGUGUAUGACGUAUGGAGGUCAAAAUUUCUUUUGAGAGUGAAUUGAAGUUAUAGCAGAUCACACGUACACCGAUUAUCCACAUAAAUGAGAAGUGAAGCACGAGCAUUAAGAAUAUCUGGUAGUCAUGCGUACUCGUGAUAGUAUGAUGAAUGGAUGUUCAACCGUCUUUUUCUAUUUCUGAAAUCAUUUACAGUUUUGGAAGGGAGUUGUAUAUUCUAAGAAUAUAUUAUGUUGCAGACUGGAUAGAUGGAGCAUAGGAAAGGAGGUGAUAUCUUUAUUGAAUCCGCAAUGCCAUUUGUGAAACUCUAUUUUAAAAUGAUUCAUAUAAGCUUGUGAAACU